GUAGUCAUAUGCUUGUCUCAAAGAUUAAGCCAUGCAUGUCUAAGUACAUACCUUAGCACGGUGAAACCGCGAAUGGCUCAUUAAAUCAGUUAUGGUUCCUUAGAUCGUUCAUACUACAUGGAUAACUGUGGUAAUUCUAGAGCUAAUACAUGCAAAAAGCUCCGACCGUAUGGGAAGAGCGCUUUUAUUAGACCAAAACCAAUGAGGUCGCAAGAUCCCUUUGUAUGGUGACUCUGGAUAACUUUGUGCUGAUCGCAUGGCCUAGAGCCGGCGACGUAUCUUUCAAGUGUCUGCCCUAUCAACUUUCCAUGGUAAGCGAUUUGCCUACCAUGGUUGCAACGGGUAACGGGGAAU
rnacentral:rRNA from 1 species